AACGAACGCUGGCGGCGUGCCUAACACAUGCAAGUCGAGCGAUACCGGCUGGUCCUGGUGCCAACGGGUGCGGAAGGGGAGGGGACCUUAACUCGUGGUCGAACUAACUCUCAGAGGGGGACACUAAUAGGGGACGAAUUCUACGAACGCAAGAUUUCUCGCCAUUGGAUGGGCCCGCGUUGGAUUAGCUAGUUGGUAGGGUAAAAGCCUACCAAGGCGACGAUCCAUAGCUGGUCUGAGAGGAGGAGCAGCCACACUGGGACUGAGACACGGCCCAGACUCCUACGGGAGGCAGCAGUGGGGAAUAUUGGACAAUGGGCGAAAGCCUGAUCCAGCAAUGCCGCGUGAGUGAUGAAGGCCUUAGGGUUGUAAAGCUCUUUUACCCGGGAUGAUAAUGACAGUACCGGGAGAAUAAGCUCCGGCUAACUCCGUG
rnacentral:rRNA from 1 species